UACGUAGGGUGCAAGCGUUAAUCGGAAUUACUGGGCGUAAAGCGUGCGCAGGCGGUUUUGUAAGACCGAUGUGAAAUCCCCGGGCUUAACCUGGGAACUGCAUUGGUGACUGCAAGGCUAGAGUGUGUCAGAGGGAGGUGGAAUUCCACGUGUAGCAGUGAAAUGCGUAGAGAUGUGGAGGAACACCGAUGGCGAAGGCAGCCCCCUGGGCUAACACUGACGCUCAUGCACGAAAGCGUGGGGAGCAAACAGG
rnacentral:rRNA from 1 species